rnacentral:lncRNA from 1 species
AAGAUUGAAAAAUCAUCACAAACCUCCCUUAUUUCUUUUCUAUUGCAAUUUCUGGAUUAUUAUAUGAUGAUUUUUGAACUUUUCAUAUAUAGAAAAGAAAUAGAAAGAGAUAGACUAGAAACGACAUCUGUUAUGUCAAUGACACCAAAGGGAUAUUAAAUGAAUGGAAUUGGGAGAGAUAGACUAGAAACGACAUCUGUUAUGUCAAUGACACCAAGGGGAUAUUAAAUGAAUUGAAUUGGGAUAUGGAUGGAAUAUAAUGAAAUAGAGCCACUUUUAGGUUCCCUCUGAAAUGAGGCAUGUAAGGGAUCCACUACGAAGAAGUUCCGGGAGUUACGAAGGAAGCUUCGAGCUCAUAUUGGUCAUGGGUUGGGAACGGGAAUUGAACUCUAUGAGAUCG